rnacentral:rRNA from 1 species
GACGAACGCUGGCGGCGCGCUUAACACAUGCGAGUCGAGCGAGAACCAGGCUUCGGCCUGGGGAAAGCGGCGAGCGGGUGAGUAACACGUGGGUAACCCACCCUUGGCACUGGGAUAGCCCGAGGAAACUCGGAUUAAUACCGGAUGGCCCAACAGCUCUUCGGAGCGGUUGGAAAAGGUAGCUUCGGCCUCCGGCCAAGGACGGGCCCGCGGCGGAUUAGCUGGUUGGUGGGGUAACGGCCAACCAAGGCGACGACCCGUAGCUGGCCUGAGAGGACGAUCAGCCACACUGGGACUGAGACACGGCCCAGACUCCUACGGGAGGCAGCAGUGGGGAAUCUUGCGCAAAGGGCGAAAGCCUGACGCAGCGACGCCGCGUGGGGGAAGAAGGCUUUCGGGUUGUAAACCCCUUUCAGGAGGGACGAAGCCACUCGGGUGAAUAGCCCAGAGGGUGACGGUACCUCCAGAAGAAGCCCCGGCUAACUACGUGCCAGCCGCCGCGGUAA